UACGGAGGGUGCGAGCGUUGUCCGGAAUCAUUGGGCGUAAAGGGCGCGUAGGUGGCCUGGCAAGCGUGCGGUGAAAGCUCGGGGCUCAACCCCGAGCCGGCCGUGCGAACUGCUGGGCUCGAGCACUGUAGAGGCAGGCGGAAUUCCGGGUGUAGCGGUGGAAUGCGUAGAGAUCCGGAAGAACACCGGUGGCGAAGGCGGUUCUCUGGGCAUUACCUGACGCUGAGGAGCGAAAGUGUGGGGAGCGAACAGG
rnacentral:rRNA from 1 species